rnacentral:lncRNA from 1 species
UGGGAUAUGGGAUAUGGGAGAUGAGAUAUGGGAUAUGGGAUAUGGGAUAUGGGAUAUGGGAUAUGGGAUAUGGGAUAUGGGAGAUGAGAUAUGGGAUAUGGGAUAUGGGAUAUGGGAUAUGGGAUAUGGGAUGGGAUAUGGGAUAUGGGAUAUGGGAUAUGGGAUAUGGGAUAUGGGAUAUGGGAUAUGGGAUAUGGGAUGGGAGCAGGGAGCUGCAUCCAGCGCUGUCUCCCGCAGAUGUCCCAGUUCAUCGUGCAGUGCCUGAAUCCGUACCGGAAACCCGACUGCAAGGUGGGCCGGAUCACCACCACCGAGGACUUCAAACACCUGGCACGCAAGCUGACCCACGGAGUGAUGAACAAGGAGCUCAAGUACUGCAAGAACCCCGAGGACCUGGAGUGCAACGAGAACGUCAAACACAAAACCAAGGAAUACAUCAAGAAGUACAUGCAGAAAUUCGGGAUCCUCUACAAGCCCAAAGAGGACACGGAGCUGGAAUAGCCCCUGGAAAAAAACAACAACCCCCGGCCCUCGGGAGCCUCGAUUCCCAGCAGGAUUCGCCUUCCCAGCCACCAACCUGUGAAUUUAUUAUUAUUAUUAAUUAUUAUUAUUAUUAUUAUUAUUAUUAUUCUGAUGAUGCCGACGAUGGAUUUUGGGUUUUUUUAAAGAAAACAAAACUUGGUUCCCGUCGCCGUGGAUGAGCCGGGCUUUUCCGAGCCCGCUUUUCCCGAUCCAGGCUUUCCCAAGCCCGGCUCUCCCGGCGCUGCUCCCAAACUCUGUAUUAUAUUUUAACCUAUAUGUGAAUAUAUUGAUAAUAAUUUGCUUUUUUUUUUUUUCUCCCCCCGUUGCUUUCAGCCCCAAAAAUGCCAAUCCCACGGGAAUGUUGAUUUUGGGGCUUAUUCCCGGAUUUUAUUUUUAUUUUAUUUUUAAUUUUAAUUUUUUUUUUUUUUUGGUUGUUUCCUCGGUUUUAACUUUCGGUUCUGCGAGGUUUUUUUCCCUGUAAAUACUGCGGAUUUCUGGCCAUGUUGAUAAGAUUGAUUUUACUGCUUCGAGCAUUUUACUUUAUCCAAUUUUUACGGAACUUUUUAUGUAAAAAAAAAAAAAAAAAAAAAAAAAAAAUGAGAAAAAAAAGAGAAAAAAAUAAAAAAAUCAAAAUUAAAAAAAAAAACA